UCUGCCUGUAAGACGGGGAUAACUCCGGGAAACCGGGGCUAAUACCGGAUAAUAAGAGAAGAAGCAUUUCUUCUUUUUGAAAGUCGGUUUCGGCUGACACUUACAGAUGAGCCCGCGGCGCAUUAGCUAGUUGGUGAGGUAACGGCUCACCAAGGCGACGAUGCGUAGCCGACCUGAGAGGGUGAUCGGCCACACUGGGACUGAGACACGGCCCAGACUCCUACGGGAGGCAGCAGUAGGGAAUCUUCGGCAAUGGGCGAAAGCCUGACCGAGCAACGCCGCGUGAGCGAUGAAGGCCUUCGGGUCGUAAAGCUCUGUUGUUAGAGAAGAACAAGUACGAGAGUAACUGCUCGUACCUUGACGGUACCUAACCAGAAAGCCACGGCUAACUACGUGCCAGCAGCCGCGGUAAUACGUAGGUGGCAAGCGUUAUCCGGAAUUAUUGGGCGUAAAGCGCGCGCAGGCGGUCUCUUAAGUCUGAUGUGAAAGCCCACGGCUCAACCGUGGAGGGUCAUUGGAAACUGGGAGACUUGAGUGCAGGAGAGAAAAGUGGAAUUCCACGUGUAGCGGUGAAAUGCGUAGAGAUGUGGAGGAACACCAGUGGCGAAGGCGGCUUUUUGGCCUGUAACUGACGCUGAGGCGCGAAAGCGUGGGGAGCAAACAGGAUUAGAUACCCUGGUAGUCCACGCCGUAAACGAUGAGUGCUAGGUGUUGGGGGGUUCCACCCUCAGUGCUGAAGUUAACACAUUAAGCACUCCGCCUGGGGAGUACGACCGCAAGGUUGAAACUCAAAGGAAUUGACGGGGGCCCGCACAAGCAGUGGAGCAUGUGGUUUAAUUCGAAGCAACGCGAAGAACCUUACCAGGUCUUGACAUCCUCUGACCACUCUAGAGAUAGAGCUUUCCCCUUCGGGGGACAGAGUGACAGGUGGUGCAUGGUUGUCGUCAGCUCGUGUCGUGAGAUGUUGGGUUAAGUCCCGCAACGAGCGCAACCCUUGACCUUAGUUGCCAGCAUUCAGUUGGGCACUCUAAGGUGACUGCCGGUGACAAACCGGAGGAAGGUGGGGAUGACGUCAAAUCAUCAUGCCCCUUAUGACCUGGGCUACACACGUGCUACAAUGGAUGGUACAAAGGGUUGCGAAGCCGCGAGGCCAAGCCAAUCCCAAAAAGCCAUUCUCAGUUCGGAUUGUAGGCUGCAACUCGCCUACAUGAAGCCGGAAUUGCUAGUAAUCGCGGAUCAGCAUGCCGCGGUGAAUACGUUCCC
rnacentral:rRNA from 1 species